AACGCACCUUGCGCUCCUUGGUAUUCCGAGGAGCAUGCCUGUUUGAGUGUCAUUAAAUUCUCAACCUCACCUGGUUUUCUAACCUGUGUGAUGGCUUGGACUUGGGAGCAUUGCAGGCUGCAGUCUAACUGCGGUUUGCUCUCCUUAAAUGUAUUAGCAGGUCUUGUACCUCUAUCCCAACGGUGUGAUAAUCUAUCUACGCUGCUGGUUUGGAGACCCUUUACUGGGGGACUGGCUUCUAACCGUCUGCAAAGACAAAUGACCAAUCUUGACCUCAAAUCAGGUAGGACUACCCGCUGAACUUAA
rnacentral:misc_RNA from 1 species